GGCUGCCUGCAGAUAUAGACCCUUUCCUCUGCUGCCCUAUUGCCAGCUACAUUAAAUAGAUUAAAUAGAGCAUAUGACAAGAGCUUAUUAAUACUGUAGUGUAGUCAACAUCCGUUAGCGAUAAUGAAACAUCCUACCCAAGAACCCUUUUAUCCCUUGUCUCCGUCACACCAGCCACGAAGGUUUUCAAAGGGAGGAAAAAUGAAGCAUAUGAUGUAUGUUGGGGCUUCAGGACAAUACAAGGAAGUUUGGGUUUAUUUAUUUCGAGAGAGAGAGA